rnacentral:rRNA from 1 species
AUUGAACGCUGGCGGCAGGCCUAACACAUGCAAGUCGAGCGGAUGAAGGGAGCUUGCUCCUGGAUUCAGCGGCGGACGGGUGAGUAAUGCCUAGGAAUCUGCCUGGUAGUGGGGGAUAACGUCCGGAAACGGGCGCUAAUACCGCAUACGUCCUGAGGGAGAAAGUGGGGGAUCUUCGGACCUCACGCUAUCAGAUGAGCCUAGGUCGGAUUAGCUAGUUGGUGGGGUAAAGGCCUACCAAGGCGACGAUCCGUAACUGGUCUGAGAGGAUGAUCAGUCACACUGGAACUGAGACACGGUCCAGACUCCUACGGGAGGCAGCAGUGGGGAAUAUUGGACAAUGGGCGAAAGCCUGAUCCAGCCAUGCCGCGUGUGUGAAGAAGGUCUUCGGAUUGUAAAGCACUUUAAGUUGGGAGGAAGGGCAGUAAGUUAAUACCUUGCUGUUUUGACGUUACCAACGGAAUAAGCACCGGCUAACUCCGUG